AAGGAGCAGGACGAUGAUCCUGGCGUCGGUACUGGGGAGCGGCCCCCGGGGCGGGCCUCCGCUCCGGCCCCUCCUGGGGCCCGCACUUGCGCUCCGGGCCCGCUCGAC
ensembl:miRNA